UGAAGCGCUUUAAGAGGCGACGGACGCUCCAGUGCGCGCUAAUGUUCCGAUUCACUGCGAUGAUCUGAUCUCAGUCCAGAUUUCUGCUCGGAGUCUCGGAGCGGAUCGUGCUGAAGAAUCUCCCGGGUUUGUGUCGAGCUGAAGCGCAGAAGCGCAGAAGCGCAGACGCGUCUCCGUCACCCCGCAGAAGACAAUAACAACAUCAACAUGGGCCAGAACGGAGGACGGAAACGAUCACACCUCCUGCCUCUUCUGCUGGUGUCCAGCAUGUGUUUUGUGAGUGCUGAAUACUCGAGCUGUGGAGAAAAUGAGUUUUAUAAUCACA